rnacentral:snRNA from 1 species
UGAGGAAUUUAUCGCCUUCUU